UACAGAGGGUGCAAGCGUUAAUCGGAAUUACUGGGCGUAAAGCGCGCGUAGGCGGCUGUCUAAGUCCGCUGUGAAAGUCGGGGGCUCAACCCUCGAAUGCCGGUGGAUACUGUCGGGCUAGAGUGCGGAAGAGGCGAGUGGAAUUCCUGGUGUAGCGGUGAAAUGCGCAGAUAUCAGGAGGAACACCUAUUGCGAAGGCAGCUCGCUGGGACGUAACUGACGCUGAGACGCGAAAGCGUGGGGAGCAAACAGG
rnacentral:rRNA from 1 species